CAACGGGGCCGGGGCCGGCAGGAGGGAGCCAUGCUGCGGGUUCUGCGGACCGGACCGGCGCCGAGGCUCCUGCAGCAACAACAGCAGCAACGGCGGCGGCAGUUUCUCCUGAACUCCUGCAGGCAUUGUUCUUCAGGAGUGCUUCCCAAUGAGAGGAUCCGCAACAUUGGGAUCUCGGCCCACAUCGACUCGGGGAAGACGACGUUAACGGAGCGAAUCCUCUUCUAUACGGGCAGGAUAGCACAAAUGCACGAGGUGAGAGGUAAGGAUGGAGUUGGGGCUGUCAUGGAUUCAAUGGAGCUAGAACGACAGCGUGGAAUCACAAUUCAGUCUGCAGCAACAUACACCAUGUGGAAAGACACCAACAUCAACAUCAUAGACACGCCAGGACAUGUGGACUUCACAAUUGAAGUGGAGAGAUCUUUGAGAGUUCUUGAUGGAGCUAUUCUGGUUCUCUGUGCUGUUGGAGGAGUUCAGUGCCAGACAAUAACUGUGAACAGGCAAAUGAAACGUUAUAGUGUGCCAUUUUUAACAUUCAUCAAUAAACUGGACAGACUGGGCUCUAGUCCAACCAGAGCAGUACAACAAUUGAGAUCCAAGUUAAAACACAAUGCAGCUUUUGUUCAGAUUCCAAUUGGGCUGGAGGGAAACUUUAAAGGAAUUAUAGAUCUUAUUGAAGAAAAAGCUAUAUAUUUUGAUGGCGCACUUGGCCAGACUCUUCGGUAUGAUGAAAUUCCAGCUGAAUUUAGAGCUGAGGCUGCAGAAAGACGUCGGGAAUUGAUCGAAUGUGUUGCUAACUCGGAUGAUCAACUUGGGGAGCUGUUUUUGGAAGAAAAGAUUCCUACAGCAGCUGAGUUAAAGCUUGCAAUCAGAAGAGCAACACUGAAGAAGUCCUUUACCCCAGUGCUUGUGGGAAGUGCUUUAAAGAACAAAGGAGUACAGCCGUUGCUGGAUGCCGUCCUGGAAUACCUCCCGAAUCCUUCAGAGGUUGAGAACUAUGCUAUUAUUAACCAGGGGGAGUCUGAGGACAAAACCAAGUUCCUAUUGAACUCUGCUCGAGAUGAUUCCCAGCCUUUUAUAGGCCUUGCUUUUAAACUGGAGGCUGGCCGUUUUGGGCAAUUAACUUAUAUUCGAGUUUAUCAGGGGAUGCUGAAGAAAUCUGAUUAUAUAUAUAACACUAGGACUGGGAAGAGAGUGCGUGUGCAAAGACUUGUCCGUAUGCAUUCAGACAACAUGGAGGAUGUAAAUGAAGUUUACGCGGGAGACAUAUGUGCGCUGUUUGGAAUUGAUUGUGCUAGUGGGGACACGUUCACUGAUAAAACCAGUACUGACAUUUCCAUGGAAUCAAUUCACAUCCCCGAUCCUGUCAUUUCAGUAGCUAUGAAGCCUUCCAACAAGAAUGACUUUGAUAAGUUUUCAAAAGGCCUGAACCGCUUUACAAGGGAAGAUCCCACCUUUAGAAUCCAUUUUGAUGAUGAGAGCAAAGAGACCAUUGUUUCUGGAAUGGGGGAACUGCACUUGGAAAUCUAUGCCCAGCGAAUGGAAAGGGAAUACGGUUGCCCUUGCACCAUGGGAAAGCCAAAAGUUGCCUUCAGGGAGAACAUCUCCGCACCUGUGUCGUUUGAGUAUACACACAAGAAACAGACGGGUGGAGCCGGCCAGUAUGGCAAAGUUAUAGGCGUUCUGGAGCCCCUGGAUCCAGAGGACUACACAAAAUUAGAGUUUGAAGACAGAACUGUUGGCACAAAUAUUCCAAAACAAUUCGUGCCCGCUGUUGAAAAGGGAUUCCGAGAAGCAUGUGAAAAAGGUCUGGCGUCAGGGCACAGGAUAUCUGGAGUCCGGUUCAUCCUAGAGGAUGGUGCACAUCACAUGGUGGACUCCAAUGAAAUCUCUUUCAUCAGAGCAGGAGAAGGAGCCCUAAAGCAAGCUAUGGAAAACGCCACUGUGCGUAUACUCGAACCCAUUAUGGCAGUGGAGGUGAUGGCACCCACCGAAUUCCAAGGAGCAGUGAUAGCUGGAAUUAAUCGCCGUCAUGGAGUGAUCACAGGACAAGACGGCACAGAGGGUUACUUUACCCUAUAUGCUGAGGUGCCACUGAAUGAUAUGUUUGGAUAUGCUACUGAACUGAGGUCUGCCACAGAGAUUCUGCCAGAUGUGUGCUGGUUCUCCACAAACGGAGCACGGCCUCGGGUAGCACAGCGUAGGGACGGCUGAGGCGCAGCUCCAGGAUGGCUGAACUUCCACGCGAAGGGGAAAGUCUGCAGGUUUGCUACUUGUCCAGAAGUUACUGUGCGGUUUCUUAACUGACAUUAAGUUUGUGUUGCUGAUUAGUAUUCAAGUUACACCCAUCUGGCAAGUUGGAAGUGCCUGGUCCUCUGUUCCAGGUCUGGAGAGCAGUGGUAAAAAGAAGCUCACGCUGCAGGGAACAGCGGUGUGUCAGCGGGACUAGGGCCACGCAGGUGCUGGUCACCGGCUUCUGUAGGGCCUUGCAGGGAGACGUUCCGCUGUCUACGCUCGUCCACAUCCUUUUAAAGGCCAGACACCAGGAGAAGAUGGAAAGUUGGGGUCAAACAGCAGCAUCGUGAAAGAAAACCCAACCUCGACCCUGCGUAAUGGCAUGCACUUGAUAUUGACAAGAGGCGGAGACUUUGUCUUCCGAUACAGCACUGUAGCAAGGCAGCUCCCGGCAUUUUCCUGUAAAGCAGGAGCUACAACUGGAUAAUGAGGACCAUACUGCGACACUGAGUUUGGACCAUUGCAAAGUUUCACUCGGGCGCUGGGUUGCCUGAUGUGACUCAAAACAAGACAAUCGCUUCAGGCACUGAGUGAAGCAGGUAGCUACGGUGCUCUCACCACUUGGACCCCGGCAGAAGCAGAGGACUGAUUGGAUUUGAUGCUCGGGUGAUCCUAAGAGCAAACCGUGCCCCAUGCUGGACAGGCAGGUAGAAACAUAAAGUGCAAGCUGUCAACAAUUCCAUGAGAUGCACGCUGCUGUUUCCUAGAAGAUACUCACUUAAGAAAAAAACCUGCAUCAAUGAGAAGGGACAAGAAAAAGAA